UACGGGGGGAGCAAGCGUUGUUCGGAUUUACUGGGCGUAAAGGGCGCGUAGGCGGCCACUGCAAGUCAGUUGUGAAAUCUCCGGGCUUAACCCGGAAAGGUCAACUGAUACUGCAGGGCUAGAGUGCAGAAGGGGCAACUGGAAUUCUCGGUGUAGCGGUGAAAUGCGUAGAUAUCGAGAGGAACACCUGCGGCGAAGGCGGGUUGCUGGGCUGACACUGACGCUGAGGCGCGAAGGCGUGGGGAGCGAACGGG
rnacentral:rRNA from 1 species